CCUACGGGAGGCAGCAGUGGGGAAUUUUGGACAAUGGGCGCAAGCCUGAUCCAGCAAUGCCGCGUGCAGGAUGAAGGCCUUCGGGUUGUAAACUGCUUUUGUACGGAACGAAACGGCGAGCUCUAAUAAAGUUCGCUAAUGACGGUACCGUAAGAAUAAGCACCGGCUAAUUACGUGCCAGCAGCCGCGGUAAUACGUAGGGUGCAAGCGUUAAUCGGAAUUACUGGGCGUAAAGCGUGCGCAGGCGGUGAUGUAAGACAGAUGUGAAAUCCCCGGGCUCAACCUGGGACCUGCAUUUGUGACUGCAUCGCUAGAGUACGGUAGAGGGGGAUGGAAUUCCGCGUGUAGCAGUGAAAUGCGUAGAUAUGCGGAGGAACACCGAUGGCGAAGGCAAUCCCCUGGACCUGUACUGACGCUCAUGCACGAAAGCGUGGGGAGCAAACAGGAUUAGAUACCCUGGUAGUCCACGCCCUAAACGAUGUCAACUGGUUGUUGGGUCUUCACUGACUCAGUAACGAAGCUAACGCGUGAAGUUGACCGCCUGGGGAGGUACGGCCGCGAGGUUAGUAAACGUUAAAGGUAAGUUAGUCGGCGUGAGACGUUAGCCGACGGACGACGACGAGGGAGGAGGG
rnacentral:rRNA from 1 species